GCCGGAUGCGGUGGCCCAUAUUUGUAAUCCUAGCAGCUCAGGAGGCUGAGAUAGGAGGAUCAUGUGUUCAAAUCCAGCCUCAGCAAAAGCAAGGCGCUAAGCAACUCAGUGAGAACCUGUCUCUA
rnacentral:sRNA from 1 species